GCUUGUGACCCGCCUUCCGGAAGGAAGCGGCUAACUAUGGCGACCGCCACGGAGCAGUGGGUCCUGGUGGAGAUGGUACAGGCGCUCUACGAGGCUCCUACUUACCAUCUUAUUUUGGAAGGGAUUCUGAUACUCUGGAUAAUCAGACUUCUUUUCUCUAAGACUUACAAAUUACAAGAACGAUCUGAUCUUACAGUCAAGG